rnacentral:rRNA from 1 species
GACGAACGCUGGCGGCGUGCCUAAUACAUGCAAGUCGAGCGAAGUUUUUCUGGUGCUUGCACUAGAAAAACUUAGCGGCGAACGGGUGAGUAACACGUAAAGAACCUGCCUCAUAGACUGGGACAACUAUUGGAAACGAUAGCUAAUACCGGAUAACAGUAUUUCUCGCAUGAGAGAUAUUUAAAAGUUGGUUAUGCUAACACUAUGAGAUGGCUUUGCGGUGCAUUAGCUAGUUGGUGGGGUAAAGGCCCACCAAGGCGACGAUGCAUAGCCGACCUGAGAGGGUGAUCGGCCACACUGGGACUGAGACACGGCCCAGACUCCUACGGGAGGCAGCAGUAGGGAAUCUUCCGCAAUGGACGAAAGCCUGACGGAGCAACGCCGCGUGAGUGAAGAAGGAUUUCGGUUCGUAAAGCUCUGUUGUUAGGGAAGAAUGGAUAUGUAGUAACUAUACAUGUAAGAGACGGUACCUAACCAGAAAGCCACGGCUAACUACGUG